rnacentral:rRNA from 2 species
GCAUAUCAAAUAAGCGGAGGAAAAGAAACCAACAGGGAUUGCCUUAGUAACGGCGAGUGAAGCGGCAAAAGCUCAAUUUGAAAUCGCUUCGGCGAAUUGUAAUUGUAGUUGUCAGACUUUGGCGGAAGUUUUUUGGAACAAAACGUCAUAGAGGGUGAUAACCCCGUUGCCUUUGUCUAUUGUACAUCUACAGAGCGAGUCGAGUUGUUUGGGAAUGCAGCUCUAAUGGGUGGUAAACUCCAUCCAAGGCUAAAUAUUGCUGGGAGACCGAUAGCGAACAAGUACAGUGAUGGAAAGAUGAAAAGCACUUUGAAAAGAGGGUGAAAUAGCGUGUGAAAUUGUUGGAGGGGAAGGUGAUGGUAGGAAUAAGAGGGAGUAGUUGAGAACGAAUGUGUUUUUGGCUUCUCUCUCCGGCGCCUGCUUUCACACCCGUCUUGAAACACGGACC